AAGUCGUAACAAGGUAACCGUAGGUGAACCUGCGGUUGGAUCAUUACUGAUUACUACUGCCUUAAGCGUCGAGUCUCUCAGACUCCGUUUUAGCAGUUUUUCACACUUUGUGCACUGAAAUUGUAUUUUGGGCUGUUAUUUUAGCAGUCCAGCAUUUUAAACCCUUUAAAUUUACUCUGAAUUUUUUAUAUUAAAAAAUAACAACUUUUGACAGCGGAUCUCUUGGUUCUC
rnacentral:misc_RNA from 1 species